rnacentral:rRNA from 1 species
ACCCUCUAGGUGAAAAGGCCUAGAUAACAAAAAAAGACAAGAAGACCCUGUAGAGCUUCACUCUAAAAGUGCCCACAACAAUAAUUUUAUACGCCACCACACACUUAAGAGUUUGGUUGGGGCGACAAAGGAACACCCAAAACAUCCUUUCUUACUUAGGCCCCUCCGCCUCCAAAUGAGCCAUUUACCCAUGACCAGAAAAUAUAGCUACCUCAGGGAUAACAGACUAAUCCCCCUUAAGAGCCCAAAUUGACAGGGGGGCUUAGCACCUCGAUGUUGGCUUAGGACAGCCAUCUAAGUGCAGACGCUUUUACGGCAGGUUUGUUCACCCUUUAAAAUCCU